GUAGUUGGGGCCUGUGAAUUAAAUUAAUAGAAGACAGAUUAACAGAAGAAAAGCAUGCAAAAUUUACUGGAUGUUAAUCUUUGUACAUGUACAUGGGCUUUGAAGAAACAGAAGGAAACAGCCCAAAGAAGUGACUAGACUUGGCCUUAUACACCAUUUUAACAAAGAGUGAUAAAUUAUGGAGAAGUGACUACACAAAAGAAAGGGGCUUGGCUUUCUAGGAGUGGCAAAUUGUGGGAAGGUAAAUAUAUGGGGGAAAUUAACUGCUAGAUAAAGGUUAUGUAGUAAGGUUUGUCUAUACAGACUUAUUUAGGUGCUGUCUCCAUUUCCAGUGGUACAGUUUGUUAUCCCUUUCCUGAUAUGGAAGGUGGGGAAAUACUUUCACAAGAAAGCUUUAUGCCCUAUGUUUAGGCAGAUAGGGGAGGGAAAAGAGCUCUUCUUGUGUCUGCUUUUUCUCAAUUGCCUUCAACUUAAAAUAAUUAUUAUGCCAAAGUGGCAUAUUUUGGCGUGACAUAUUCUAAUCCCCUUCAGAUGUUAUGACUGUCAGCAAGUUCUUAUACUCCUCCAAGCCUCAGCCUCCUCCUGGGCAAAUGAAGACAAUAAUGGUAUCUAUUUCUUAGGGUUGUUAUGGGCAUUCAAUAGAUAAUACAUAUGAGCAGCUCAGCACAGAAGUAGGUACAUAAUAAGUGUUCAAUAAAGGAGAGCUAUCAUUCUUAUUUUUAUCUCCAGAAUCCGUUUUUUGCUUUCACCUAUAGAGAUAUAGACAGUACAUGCAUACCAACUCUGCCCAUUAAUUAGCAUAUAUAUAUAUAUGUAUUUAAGAAGUGGAGGAAUGAGAAAAAACAAUAUCAGGAUCAUUUAGUCUUAAGCGUAAAGUGUUAAGGAGGAUUUAAACAGCAAUGUUUAAGCUGAAGAUAAAAAAGGGAGGAGGUUUAAAUUAAGGAAUAAAAAUAUUUAGGUUCAGAUUAAAUAAUUUAUCAGAUACAACUCCUUAGUUAUGGGUGUGUGUAUGUAAUUAGAUCUCCUCAUCAUCUACUCUUAAAACCAGACUUAUCGCUUUUACUCUCCACUCCAAUCACCCACCAGGUCAUGCUGAUGUUAACUGGCUCAUGCCCAUCACUUCUUUUUAGUUCCCAAUGUUACCUCCUAGGCUGAGUUUUCAUCUUGUUAAACCUAGAUUAAUGUAAUACCUUCUAAACAGUCUCUUAAUCUUUUAAUAUCUUCCUUAUUCUAUUCAAUCCUGUGUUCUGCCAACCAAUUACUAUUCCUCAAAAACCACUUUGUUUAAUCUCUCUGAAUUCCGACUGCCUACAUAGUAAGAUUCUAAUUCUUUGGUUUAGCUUUCAAGAUUCUAUUCAAUCCAACUUUAACCUACCUUUUUUGUUCCAUUCCUCUCCCCUCCCCAUCCACUCUAGUUAGAGGGAUGUGGACUAGAAUGGGAAUAAGGACGCAGACUCCAGAGCAGACUGCCUGCAUGAACUCCAGGUCCCCACCAGCCAGUUCUAAACUAAAAGUUCAGAUAUUCUGAACCAUGGAACAAACAUGAUGUGGCCUGCUGAAGUAGAAAUGUGGACUUUUGGGAUGUGAGACCGAAAUCACUCAUAGAUAAGGGUCCUUCCUAAAUCUACAGAGUGGGCAACAAACCUAAUUCACUUGUUAAAAUAAUCAUUGAGAUGGAAAUUGCAAACGUUCUGACUCUGGAGAGACAGAGGGUGACUGGCAGGCAAAGGAGAAAUCUCAGGCUUCAGUAAUGAGAAUUUUUCAUGAGUCGCCUAAUCAAGCUCAUGAGACCUGGAGAGUCUAUGAGGAAAGGGUUCAGUGAUAGAGAAAGCCGGAGAUGAUGAGGCUGGGAGAGUAAGCUUCUCUUACCAUUGUUCUCUAUUCUCCCUACUCCCAUAUUCUUCCAGUGGGACAAAGUGCCCCAAAGUAUAAGUCAGUGUGUCCCAAGGGGUCUGGAGUUUAGGUACCUGAACAUGGAAGAGGGCCUUGCUAAACUGGUUUGACCUUUCUCUCAUCCCCAGCAAAGUUCUGAAUGCGGGUUCUGACUCUGAGCUGAAGGCAUACUUCAUGAAGUUUCCUGCUGCCCUUUCACUACACAGCUGGACUUGGAGGCAAACUUGGAGAUAAAAAUAUAGUUCCCGUGCUAUCCCUUAUAAAGAUUUAAGAGAAAG